UACGGAGGGUGCAAGCGUUGCUCGGAAUCACUGGGCGUAAAGCGCACGCAGGCGGCUAUUCAAGUCGGAUGUGAAAGCCCCGGGCUCAACCCGGGAACUGCAUUCGAAACUGGAUGGCUUGAGUUCGAGAGAGGGUGGUGGAAUUCCUGGUGUAGAGGUGAAAUUCGUUGAUAUCAGGAGGAACAUCGGCGGCGAAGGCGGCCACCUGGCUCGAUACUGACGCUCAUGUGCGAAAGCGUGGGGAGCAAACAGGAUUAGAUACCCGCGUAGUCC
rnacentral:rRNA from 1 species